UGGGGAAUAUUGCACAAUGGGGGAAACCCUGAUGCAGCGACGCCGCGUGAGCGAAGAAGGUUUUCGAAUCGUAAAGCUCUGUCCUAUGAGAAGAUAAUGACGGUAUCAUAGGAGGAAGCCCCGGCUAAAUACGUGCCAGCAGCCGCGGUAAUACGUAUGGGGCGAGCGUUGUCCGGAAUUAGUGGGCGUAAAGGGUACGUAGGCGGUCUAUUAAGUCAGGUGUGAAAGCGUGAGGCUUAACCUCAUUAAGCACUUGAAACUGAUAGACUUGAGUGAAGGAGAGGAAAGUGGAAUUCCUAGUGUAGCGGUGAAAUGGGUAGAUAUUAGGGGGAAUACCGGUGGCGAAGGCGACUUUCUGGACUUUUACUGACGCUCAGGUACGAAAGCGUGGGGAGCAAACAGG
rnacentral:rRNA from 1 species